AUCCAGAUGAUCCUGAGCCUCCGGAUUGAGCCAGACCCGUUUAUUUGCAUAUUUAUUUUAUUAUUUUAUUUUUGGGCUUAUUUGCAUUCUAGGGUUUAUUUGUGGUUUAUUUUAUAUCUGGGCUUAUUUGCAUUUUAGGGCUUAUUUGUGUUAUUUGUGGGUUCAUUAGGAUUUAUUUCUGUGUAAGGGGGGUUUAUGCAAGUUGUGUAUUUGGGCCCUAUAUAUAGGAAACUAUUUUCAUGAUUAGGGUUUAAUGAAUGAUUAAGAAUUUCUUUUCCCCCUAGAUCUUAUUCUUCCUCCUCCUCCUCCCCUUCUCUUCUUCCUGUGUCUCUAGAACCUCUUCUUCUUUCUUCCUCUCUUGUUCUUCCUUCUCCUCCUCUUUUUCCGCAUUUGUGCGGCAUCAACUUGGUAUCAGAGCAAGGCUGGUUUUGCCCCUGCUGCCAAAGCCCCGAUCCAUCUCCCGGCUAC
rnacentral:lncRNA from 1 species